rnacentral:tRNA from 1 species
GCGGGUGUAGUUUAAUGGCAGAAUAGCAGCUUCCCAAGCUUCAGGCGAGGGUUCGAUUCCCUUCACCCGCU